rnacentral:rRNA from 1 species
GACGAACGCUGGCGGCGUGCCUAAUACAUGCCAGUCGAGCGGACUUACAAAGCUUGCUUUUUAAGUUAGCGGCGGACGGGUGAGUAACACGUGGGCAACCUGCCUGUAAGACUGGGAUAACUUCGGGAAACCGGAGCUAAUACCGGAUAAUCCUUUUCUACUCAUGUAGAAAAGCUGAAAGACGGUUUACGCUGUCACUUACAGCUGGGCCCGCGGCGCAUUAGCUAGUUGGGGAGGUAACGGCUCACCAAGGCGACGAUGCGUAGCCGACCUGAAAGGAUGAUCGGCCACACUGGAACUGAGACACGGCCCAGAGUCCUACGGGAGGCAGCAGUAGGGAAUCUUCCGCAAUGGACGAAAGUCUGACGGAGCAACGCCGCGUGAGUGAUGAAGGAUUUCGGAUCGUAAAACUCUGUUGUUAGGGAAGAACAAGUACGAGAGUAACUGCUCGUACCUUGACGGUACCUAACCAGAAAGCCACGGCUAACUACGUG